UACGAAGGGGGCUAGCGUUGUUCGGAUUUACUGGGCGUAAAGCGCACGUAGGCGGAUCGUUAAGUCAGGGGUGAAAUCCUGGGGCUCAACCCCAGAACUGCCUUUGAUACUGGCGAUCUCGAGUCCGGAAGAGGUGAGUGGAACUCCUAGUGUAGAGGUGGAAUUCGUAGAUAUUAGGAAGAACACCAGUGGCGAAGGCGGCUCACUGGUCCGGUACUGACGCUGAGGUGCGAAAGCGUGGGAGCAACAGG
rnacentral:rRNA from 1 species